rnacentral:rRNA from 1 species
GGUUGAUCCUGCCAGUAGUCAUAUGCUUGUCUCAAAGAUUAAGCCAUGCAUGUCUAAGUAUAAUCAUUUUAUCGAAAAACUGCGGACGGCUCAUUAAAUCAGUUAUAAUCUAUUCGAUGGCUAAAAUUACAUGGAUAACUGUAGUAAUUCUAGAGCUAAUACAUGAACGAAGCCAUGCUUUACUGUGUGGUGUUUUUACAAGUUAACAUAAACCUAUUUUAACUACUGACUUAUUGUAAACUAACAGACCGAACAGGCUUGCGACGGGUAACGGGGAAUUAGGGUUCGAUUCCGGAGAGGGAGCCUGAGAAACGGCUACCACUUCUAAGGAAGGCAGCAGGCGCGCAAAUUACCCAAUCCCAAUACGGGGAGGUAGUGACAAAAAAUAGCAAUGCUUAGACCAUUCAAAAUGGUCUGGUAAUUGAAAUGAGUACAAUUUAAAAAACUUAACGAGGAACAAUUGGAGGGCAAGUCUGGUGCCAGCAGCCGCGGUAAUUCCAGCUCCAAUAGCGUAUACUAAAAUUGUUGCAGUUAAAAAGCUCGUAGUCGAAAGCCGCGCGUUGCUUUCACUGGGGCCCCCUAGAGGGGCCAAAACUGGUGGAGUGAAGCGCUAUCGUCUUAUAUACCAGACGGCCUUAAUUGUGUCGUUUGAACGUGUAUACAGACUAAAUUACUGUGAAAAAAUUAGAGUGUUCAAGGCAGGCGUUACAGCUUGUAUAGAUUAGCAUAGGAUAAUGAUAAGAUUGAGAAUUUACGUUCUGUAGGUUUAAAAUGCUUAAUAAUGGUUAAUAGGGUUUAUCAGGGGCGCUCAUAUUUAAUUGUCAGAGGUGAAAUUCUUGGAUUUAUGAAAGAUGAACUAAUGCGAAAGCAUCCGCCAUGGGUAUUCCCAUUGAUCAAGAACGAAAGUUAAGGGAUCGAAGACGAUCAGAUACCGUCGUAGUCUUAACUAUAAACGAUACCGACCAACACUCGAAAGACGUUAUAUGGAUGACUCCUCCGGAAGUUUGUGAGAAAUCAUAAGUCUUCGGGUUCUGGGGGGAGUAUGGUCGCAAGGCUGAAACUUAAAGGAAUUGACGGAAGGGCACACCAGAAGUGGAGCCUGCGGCUUAAUUUGACAACACGGGAAAUCUCACCAGGUCCAGACAUUAGUAUGAUAGACAGAUUAAGAGCUCUUUCUAGAUUUUGUGGGUGGUGGUGCAUGGCCGUUCUUAGUUGGUGGAUUGAUUUGUCUGCUUAAUUGCGAUAACGAACGAGACCUCAGCCUGCUAACUAGUACAUUUAACUUUCAAAUGGUUGAAGCUCUUGAUUGUUGAGGGGCCUCGGUCCUUCAAUAAACUUGAGUGGAAGCUCGAAAUGUUACAAUGUUGCUUCUUAGAGGGACUAUUGGCGAUUAGUCAAAGGAAGUUUGAGGCAAUAACAGGUCUGUGAUGCCCUUAGAUGUUCUGGGCCGCACGCGCGCUACAAUGACCAGGGCAACGAGCCAACCUUAGUCAAAAGACUUGGGAAAACUUUUAAACCUGGUCUUAACUGGAAUAGAUUAUUGAAAUUAUUAGUCUUAAACGAGGAAUUUCUAGUAAGCGUGCGUCACUAGCGCACGUUGAUUACGUCCCUGCCCUUUGUACACACCGCCCGUCGCUUCUACCGAUUGAAU